rnacentral:rRNA from 1 species
UACGUAGGGACCGAGCGUUGUCCGGAAUCAUUGGGCGUAAAGAGCGUGUAGGCGGCCACUUAAGUCCUGCGUGAAAUCUUGCGGCUCAACCGCAAGCGGUCGUGGGAAACUGGGUGGCUAGAGUGCGGGAGAGGAGAGUGGAAUUCCUGGUGUAGCGGUGGAAUGCGCAGAUAUCAGGAGGAACACCGGUGGCGAAGGCGGGUCUCUGGGCCAUUACUGACGCUGAGGAGCGAAAGCGUGGGGAGCGAACAGG